UGACCUUUCCUGGGGUGAACCGGCAGCAUCCCACGGUGGUCUGCUGGGCUUCAGUGAUCUCGGUGUGCGGGACAGCUUCGGGUUUUGCCCCAGCGCUCCCCCUGCCCUUUGUUGUGCUUGGCCCUCGUCCACCAUUGGGUUUCUGCGGAGCCCGGCCGGGGAAUGGCGAGAGCGCCGGUUUGAGAGCUUGGAAAGCGACCGCGAUCGCGGCCGAAUCGUCCGUUUAACUUUAGGUAGGUAGGUGGAGCCCAGGUUUUCAGUAAGACUUCCUGAGGUCAGUCUCACCCCAGUCAUUGGUGGAGCCUUCCGUAAGUGCUCUCUCUGACACGUCUGUAUCUCUAAGCCAGAUACUUGAACCCUGCCUGGUCGAGUCGCUGGCCCAUAGCCAGUAGCUGUCGUCAUUAUGAGCCUUGGUCCGCACAAAGUGCCUGCUUAACCUCAGGGUCUCUGUUCAUGUGAUGGAAGAACCGUGGCCACUUUUAAACCAGAGGAACAGCCUUUGGAGACCAUGUGCCUGACCCUGUUAGGUACCAAAGCACCGUCAUAAGCAAGAUGAGGUCGCUACCCAGGGAGAGUGAAUCCAGACAGGGUGACGGAUUGACAAGCAGGCUGAGACGAAAAGCCGUGAUGUAGUCCUCUCUCUCCUCAUCCCUGUACAACCACAGAAGAGACUCUGCAGCCAAAAGAUGGCGGAGCCACCAUAAACAUAGGCAUCUCUGUGUGGUAGGCCCUCUGUUAACCUGAGGGAGACGUGUAACGUGAACCCAAAGGACAUUGUAUGAUAAAGCCAUCGGGGUUUGAGGGUUGUUUGUUACUUUAACGUAUUUGAGUUUAACCUGAUAGAGGAGGGCUGUUUAUAUCUGCCCUUUUGGUUACUGGAGAAAAUGGCUUGACUACUGGUGAAUGUGUUUUUUCCUAUCUUCUAUGCCUAGCUCAACCCCAACACUUGAGCAGUUGAUUAAAUAUUUGAUUGAACAAGCUAGUUGCAAAUAAAGAACUGAUUAAGGAUUUAGACAGGAAAGAUUAAUUCCCUCCCUAUCCUGUUUUGGCAGGUGCGUUCACCACCUGGAUUUUAAGCAGUUUUAAUAGACCACUAUGGACACUGGGUUUUAACACUCAGCUUCCACCCUGCCUCUUGGACCCAGACAACCGAGCUACACUUGGUUUGCAUUGCCACCUGGUGGUCAGUAGGGGCAUUCUCUGCUCUACCAGCGGUCCUCAAACUUUUUAAACGGCCCCUCAGACCCGUUGGA